CGUGUAGGCGGAGAUGCAAGUCAGAUGUGAAAUCCUCGGGCUUAACCCGGGAACUGCAUUUGAAACUGUAUCCCUUGAGUAUCGGAGAGGCAGGCGGAAUUCCUAGUGUAGCGGUGAAAUGCGUAGAUAUUAGGAGGAACACCAGUGGCGAAGGCGGCCUGCUGGACGACAACUGACGCUGAGGCGCGAAAGCGUGGGGAGCAAACA
rnacentral:rRNA from 1 species